UUCAUACGUUCCUGUUAAUCUUUGGAUGUGCUGUCGUCCAUGUGUGCUGUGAGUGUCACCACAAACCUGAAUGAAAUGUGUCAGAACUCAAAGAAAUCAAGUUACUCCCAUGACGAGGAGCAGCCCUGCCAAUGCGGACGGACUAAGACGAAGAACAUAAUCAAGGAAGCGCAUGAAAGCCAGCGCUGGGCCUGAGAUUAAUUAGCUGUAUCCCAUGAAUAAUGAAAAAGAGGGUAUAACACAAAACAGUCACACCAUCUGGUAGAUGAGAGACACACACACACACACACACACACACACACACACACACACACACACACACACACACACACACACAGGUUAAACUCGAAACACCUUUUUUCACUUUCUUUUUGAGCAUUUGAAGACGUAACACGUCAAGUCAUAUUUAAUAAUUUACCUGAUGAAAGCACAAUCAAACCGCCAAAAACACAAUUCACAAUAUCAGAUCAGUGUCACAUCUUUCUUUCUCCGCCUGGAGGAUACAGGGGCUCUAUGUGUGUCUGUCUGCAUGUUUCUGUCUGUGUGCAUAGGCGUGCAUCCGUGUGGCUGUGUAUUGGUGAGUGACGUCGCCAUCACCUUGACAACUGCUGUGUCGUCAACGUCCAAAGAGGUUGGAGUUGGAACCUAGAAAGGUAAGACACCUCUUAUCUCUAUAAACAAAUACAUUGCGCAAAUCGGCUAAUAAAAUAAGAAGUUUUAUUUGCCUACAGAGGUUAGUAAUGGAAUGGGUUCAGCUUACAUUCAUCCAUUACAAUUCUUCUGUGUAAAGUAUUGUAUCAUUU